ACGUAGGGGGCAAGCGUUAUCCGGAUUUAUUGGGCGUAAAGAGUGCGUAGGUGGUUUUUUAAGCGAGAGGUGAAAGUCAAUAGCUUAACUAUUGUAAGCCUUGGGAACUGGAAGACUUGAGGGCAGGAGAGGAAAGUGGAAUUCCUGGUGUAGCGGUGAAAUGCGUAGAUAUUAGGAGGAACACCAGUGGCGAAGGCGGCUUUCUGGACUGUAACUGACACUGAUGCACGAAAGCGUGGGGAGCAAACAG
rnacentral:rRNA from 1 species